GUACACGCUGUGACUAGCAUAUCAAUAAGCGGAGGAAAAGAAACUAACAAGGAUUCCCCUAGUAACGGCGAGUGAAGCGGGAAGAGCUCAAAUUUGAAAUCUUAAAGGGUUUCCCUUUACGAAUUGUAGUUUAAAGAAGUGUUUUCUGUUGAGGUUUUGGUAAAAGUUCUUUGGAAUAGGACAUCAUAGAGGGUGAGAAUCCCGUAUUUGACCUUUACUUUCAACUUUGUGAUACACUUUCAAAGAGUCGGAUUGUUUGGGAAUGCAGUCCAAAAUGGGUGGUAAAUUUCAUCUAAAGCUAAAUAUUGGCGAGAGACCGAUAGCGAACAAGUACCGUGAGGGAAAGAUGAAAAGAACUUUGAAAAGAGAGCUAAACAGUACGUGAAAUUGUCAAAAGGGAAGCGUUUGACACCAGUGUUGUUUUUCUGAAAAUCAAUUAAAGAACUGUUUAUGCUAAGCUGUUUAGACUUUAUCAGCUAUCUGUUUAGUUUUGAGCUUUUCUUUAAUGCACUUUUCAGUUAACAAGUCAACAUCAAUUUCUUUUGCUGUAAAAAAGCUUGAGGAAGGUGGCUUGAGAUUCGUCUUAAGUGUUUAUAGCCUCUUGCCUAUGCAGUCGGAGAGAUUGAGGUCUGCAGCGUAGAUCCUUCGGGGCUAAAUGCAUUUGUGCUAAGUUAUAGCAUUUUAUAGACAACUUGUUGACUAUGAUUUGUCUUGUAGCUUACUCGCUUAUGUUAUUUUACCUACGCUUAGGAUGUUGACUGAUAUGUAGUCGUA
rnacentral:rRNA from 1 species